CCCUCCAUAGCUCAGUGGCUUAGAGCGCCUGGCUGUAGCCCGGGAGAUCCCAAGUUCGAUUCUUGGUGGGGGGA
rnacentral:tRNA from 1 species